rnacentral:lncRNA from 1 species
GAGCGAGCGGCGGGUGUCCCUGAGAGGCCACCUUUCGACCUUCGAGGGCCAGGAGGAUACGGGGAGGUGGCCGGAGGGAGUUCCCGAACACAGGUCUUCCUGUUCCCGCCGAGCAGGUGUUGGCGGUGCCAGGCCCGGCCUGGCGGGCCCGGGCUGGCAGCCAAAUACCCAGCGUCUGUGCUCGGGACGGGAGUGUUCGUCCAGGACGUGCAGCUCCGGAGCCUGCGCGGGCGACCUUGACCACCUUUGUCGGCUGUUUCCCCCUGAGGGAAGUAUACCUGUCCUGCCAGCCUUGGUCUCUGGCAGGGAAGGUCCUUCCAACAGAGAGGGAAUUGCUUAGAAUUGACUCAACACUGCCUCCUUGCUGAAUGGAUAAUUCAAGCAAACAACUCAAGAGCUGGAUGCUGCCCAGACAGGUAGGCAGCCAGAUAAAGUGAGUGUCCAGGGAAAGAGCAGUAAGGGUCAGAAGAGAAAGAGCCUGGUGUUCUCACUGCCUCCUGCCUUCCUUAUGACUGUCUGUUCAGAAGUCCUCCUAGCAUCUUUCUUCUGCCUUCCCCUGCUCCUGUCCCUGAAACCUUUUCUUCAAAAGAAGUGGAAAAGAGGAACUGGGAACCCAUAUAGCAACAGCAUCACCUGGAAUGAAUUCCUUUAGAACAUACUGUCUUGGAAAUCUGAAGCCUGCAGGGCUGGACAGGCAAGAAGAGCAGUGAGCACUGCAUGAACCUUUCUCUCCUUCCCUCCCUUACGUAUGACUCCUCCCAUAAUCCGCACACAUGGAUUGAACCAAGUGAGGGUAUUUUUCUGUUUCCUACCUCAUAGAAGGGCAUAGAGUGGACACGGUCUAAGGCAUGUACUCCGAAAUAUUUUUCAAAUGGAAAAGAAAACAGAGAACACAAUUUUCAAAAUAUCUAGAGCCCUCCAAGAAGUCUUUGUAGAGAUCUAUAAAAUCUCAAGGCAAUUUAAAGAAUAGAAAAAUGUUUUAGAAACACUAUUCUCUCCACAUCCUGGGGCAGCAGCCUUCUCCAAAGAAACAGAAAGAAGGAAAUGGAUUGCCUUAGCAAAAAAACAAAUGAAGACACUCCAAAUAACAGAAGAAUGGGAAGGCUACAGACCUUGAAGUCAGAAGAAAAUUUCCUCUCCUUGCCCCGUUUCUCCUUAAAUGGAUCACCAGUACAGUCUCUUACUUCUAGAGCCAUGUUAAGCUUUCUUCCCCAAAGUUGUAAUGUCCUUCUUUUGGUUGUGUCGUGUCCUAAAAUCCUACUCUUUGGUACAAGAUGAAGGUAUAUGAAGAGAUAAUGAAGGAAACAAAUUCAAUGUGUUUGCCAAGAACACAGUCUUUUAAAUAACUCUUAAAGGGUUCGUUUAAAACAGUGUAAUAAAUUGUGGUAAUCUAGUACACAAAGCUAGUAGGAACCUCGUUUAUUAAUAAUAUUUCAACAU